CAGGACUGGAAAUUCCAGCAUAUAAAGAAUUACAAUAAUCCAAUCGAGAUAAAACUAUUUGAGUUUAAAUGUAAUGCAGCCUUUGACCUUCAUUAUUUGAAGCUGAAAAGGGUUGACGUUUUCAAGAGUGUAUGCAACGAGCGAACCUUUUAAAAAUAUAUGUCAUAUAACUCGCACAUCCUCUAGUCCUGUCCGUGAUGAAAGAGUGCUGUUUGAGGAACAUUUUCCCGGGAUCUGGCGACCGCUCUCCUCAUGAAUGAAAGUGAAAGUAAUGAACAGAGUUGAUGCGGCCAUUUUAAACAGACAGAAUCGAUGAUCUACAACACAUUAUAUAUUUAAAUCUUUAAUAGAAUCGCUAAUAAAUGCUAAAGCAGGAGUUUGUGUGGAGUUACCGGAUGGGAAUGUGAAUCGUCAGUGGAGAUCAAACUGUUCAGAUCCAUCAUGGAUGAAACACAAACUUCUGGAGAUGAAGAUUUGUUUCCAGCACACAGCUCAAUUUAUCAGAAGAGAUCAGAAGCAGAGUUCAGCUGUGUGUCUGUGAAGAGUGAUGUGUCUAUGAUUGAACCAAUGAAGUUUAACAGUGGAGAUUCACAGCCUGAUCUCAGUUCAGUUCAUCAGAAGAGAUCAGAAGCAGAGUCCAGCUGUGUGUCUAUGAAAACUGAUGCAUCUAUGAUUCAACCAAUAAUCUUUAACAGUGGAGAUACACGGCCUGAUCUCAGGUAUAAUAUUUCUGUAAGAGAUAUGAUCUGAACAUGU
rnacentral:lncRNA from 12 species